AACUGCUGAAAGGGAACCGAAUCGUUUCCAGUGUCUAUAAUCCGUGGUAUAUUUCAUUGGCGAGUGUGUGCGUGCGUGUGCUGUGGCAGCGGCU